AUUGAACGCUGGCGGCAGGCCUAACACAUGCAAGUCGAGCGGAUGAAGGGAGCUUGCUCCUGGAUUCAGCGGCGGACGGGUGAGUAAUGCCUAGGAAUCUGCCUGGUAGUGGGGGAUAACGUCCGGAAACGGGCGCUAAUACCGCAUACGUCCUGAGGGAGAAAGUGGGGGAUCUUCGGACCUCACGCUAUCAGAUGAGCCUAGGUCAGAUUAGCUAGUUGGUGGGGUAAAGGCCUACCAAGGCGACGAUCCGUAACUGGUCUGAGAGGAUGAUCAGUCACACUGGAACUGAGACACGGUCCAGACUCCUACGGGAGGCAGCAGUGGGGAAUAUUGGACAAUGGGCGAAAGCCGGAUCCAGCCAUGCCGCGUGUGUGAAGAAGGUCUUCGGAUUGUAAAGCACUUUAAGUUGGGAGGAAGGGCAGUAAGUUAAUACCUUGCUGUUUUGACGUUACCAACAGAAUAAGCACCGGCUAACUUCGUG
rnacentral:rRNA from 1 species